CGCAGGUGGGCCGGCGAGGCAGGUGGGCCGGCGAGGCAGACUCUCACAAAAUAUUUUGCCUGCUCUGACCCCUACAAUCAAGCCACCUGAAAGCAAAAGCCUGUUAUAGGUUGCUGGUGGUGUCAAUGGCUUCCACCAAGGAGUGAGAACUAGGAAGAAACCAACCAUCCAGACAUUAACACAACUCUGCUACUUCUUGUGUGGGAGGUUAUCUCCCUACAACUUACCAAGUUGACUGCCAUGGGAAGAAAAGGGAACCACAGACCUUGAGACCAGAAUGGUUCAGACUGGAGUUGUGGGCACAGGAUCUCCACGACAUGUUCAUCCAGGAGCUGUUCACAAGCAUGCAGGACUACCAAGCGGCAGCUGAUUGGUGCUCACAAUUAGCAGUAAUAAAUGAUCUUUAGCC